AGCAGUAGCCGCGGGAAUACAGAGGGUGCGAGCGUUAAUCGGAUUUACUGGGCGUAAAGCGUGCGUAGGCGGCUUUUUAAGUUGGAUGUGAAAUCCCUGAGCUUAACUUAGGAAUUGCAUUCGAUACUGGGAAGCUAGAGUAUGGGAGAGGAUGGUAGAAUUCCAGGUGUAGCGGUGAAAUGCGUAGAGAUCUGGAGGAAUACCGAUGGCGAAGGCAGCCAUCUGGCCUAAUACUGACGCUGAGGUACGAAAGCAUGGGGAGCAAACAGGAUUAGAGACCCCUGUAGUCCCUGUCUCUUAUAA
rnacentral:rRNA from 1 species